rnacentral:lncRNA from 1 species
AUUGUGCCUUUGUCUCUGUCCUCUGCAGCUGAUGUGGUCUCUGUGUUCUCUCUUAUUUGUGGUCAGUGCUGCUCUCUUCUCUGGGAUUUCCUUUCCUCCCCGAUCAGGGCCUUGCUCUACCUGUGCCUCACCAUGACCCCUGUGUUCACCAUAACCCUUUCCUUCCCAUCAGCAUCAUGUCCACCUAAAAUGGUUUUCAGAGCACCAAGGAACAUUGGGACUGUGAUACGGGCUGAGGAGGGAUACAUCCAUUUCUCACAGAACACAGAAAUAAAACCUUACUUCUUUUAAAUGGAGAGAAGCGCAGCCGGUAGCACGGGAUUAGCAAGCAGGCUGUGGUGCCAACACCGCCACCUGCCUCAUGCACUGUACCGCUAUGCUAACGGUCUCACACAAGGGAAGCUUGGAACUCCGGAGAAUCGUGAGUUUCAGAACACCUUAGAAAAUACGGUGGAGCCAUGGCUCAAAAAAA